rnacentral:rRNA from 1 species
UGGGGAAUCUUGCACAAUGGGGGAAACCCUGAUGCAGCGACGCCGCGUGAACGAUGAAGCCCUUCGGGGUGUAAAGUUCUUUCGACAGGAACGAUAAUGACGGUGCCUGGAGAAGAAGCUGCGGCUAACUACGUGCCAGCAGCCGCGGUAAUACGUAGGCAGCGAGCGUUGUUCGGAGUUACUGGGCGUAAAGAGUGCGUAGGCGGCGAGCCAAGUUUGGUGUGAAAUCUCCCGGCUUAACCGGGAGGGUGCGCCGAAAACUGGUUGGCUGGAGUAUGGGAGAGGAAAGCGGAAUUCCUGGUGUAGCGGUGAAAUGCGUAGAUAUCAGGAGGAACACCUGCGGUGUAGACAGCUUUCUGGACCAAAACUGACGCUGAGGCACGAAAGCGUGGGUAGCAAACA